CGGUAGCGUUUUGAAUAUUGGUUUAUUAGCUAAAUUAGACGUGAAAUAUAAAAAAUCCAAAGAAAUCCAAAAUUAGACAUCGGAUCGAGUCCAAAUUUUACAAACAUGUUGGUGUUAACGUUAAUGUCGUUCGAUAAAAAAUUCGGAAAAUUUCGCCAUUAGGGGGCGCAAUAAACGAGGAAAUUGUAUAUCUUCUACACAAUUUCGCCGCGAAAACGCCACACUGACUUCUCGCUACUCCUACCACAGUCAAAUCCUUUGUAUCCACAGGUUCAGGGUAGCGUUUUGAACACAUGCUUCGCGGUUGUGCCGGCGAAAUGCACAUUUCUUGUCGCGUUGUGCCGGCGAAAUACACACUUCUUGGACCCCUGCAUAAUUAGGGGUCCAAGCCAACAGGUUGGAUCCCUAUUGUUUUUACUACCUCCCCGUGAAAGUGGAACCACAGCCCAAACCGUAAAUGGUGCCGACAUGCCAAUUGCAUGACUAGAUCCAGGUCCGGCACCGCUACUCAGAUAACAAAAUCCAGACACGCCGGCCACUAGGUGGCGCUAUACCAAGGAAAGACGCGUUUGGGGCUAUAACUCCCACACCGAACCUCCCACAUUCAAAACCUUGUACACACAUAUUCACUGGAGUCUGCUGCAUCUUUUGGCAUAGGCCACGCCCAUUUGCGUCCACAAUUUCUUUUCGCAAAAUCGCGAAAACCGCAAAACUGUAUUUUCGCUACUCCUCCCACAUUUCUUGACCAAUCGACACCAAACUUUGCACGCGGCAUCUUCAGACACACACGCAUAGAAUUGAUAGACACUUUUUUGAUCGGAACUUCGACGACGAAACGGUAGCGUUUUGAAUAUUGGUUUAUGAGCUAAAUUAGACGUGGAAAAUCAAAAAUCCAAAGAAAUCCAAAAUUAGACAUCGGAACGAGUCCAAAUUGUACACACAUGUUGGUGCUAACCUUAAUGUCGUACAACAAAAAUUUCGGAAAAUUUCGCCAUUAGGGGGCGCAAUAAACGAGGAAAUUGUAUAUCUUCUACAAAAUUUCGCCGCGAAAACGCUACACUGACCUCUCGCU
rnacentral:lncRNA from 1 species